rnacentral:lncRNA from 1 species
CCCCGUCAGGAACUAAAUCCAUUAGCGCCUGCUUUCCUUUUGUAGCUUCGACGAUCAUGGCGGAGGGUUUGGCUCUACUUGAAGCGGUGAAGAUGGGCAUCUGCGACAACUUGAAGGCGAUACGUUUUGAAUCUGAUUCCUCACAACUGAUUAAAGCGGUUAACUCAGGGGACUGCAUACCUGAACUCUAUGGAGUGGUGUCGGAUAUCCUCUCCCUCAUCUCUGUGUUUGAUUUUGUUUCUUUCACUUGGAUUCCUCGUGAGUUUAAUAUCCAAGCAGACAGACUUGCUAAAACUGCCUUGGCUGUAACCGAUUCGGUGGUGG